UACUACGCAUCCUCAGACGAGUCUUCCUUUCGGAGAGGACCGUUGCAUUCUGGGGGUUGUAGUCAUUGUCCUUUGAGAGAGGGUCUUUGGCGACCCAGCUCUAGAACCGGAACUUUUAGGGAUACACAGUCAAGAUAGAAAACAUAACCUUUCUCUUCGACUCAGAGAGAGUCAGCCAAUCCCCAGCCUAGGCGCGGUGACGCCCCCGGAGCUGGUAGAUUCUCUAGGGGGUCAGCCCGCUGGAGGUGGGCCGCGCUCCCCCUAGAGCCUGGAGCUGCCCUCUUCCGCGUGGCCGGCUUUGGCUGAACUCAGGGUUCCUACCUUUCCUGUGCGGACGAAGGCCUCGGCCACCUUUCGGUUCCUCCCUCCGUAGCAGGUGGUGAUGAGGUCACCGAUACCACAGCUCUCCAAGAAGGUGGCAGAGGACACAGGGCCACUGCAGAAGAGCUUGGCAAAGGCGAUCAUCUCCAUGAGCCCCAGUCGGAUCACCGCUGCCUUGGUGUUGUCACCAAAGCCCAGCCCGUCACAGAAGCCAGCUCCCACGGCCACUAUAUUCUUUGGGGAGUGGAGGUCACAGGUUCUUUACCUUGAGGUCCCGGCAUUGGGACUGAAGCCAAUCAUUGAUGAAACCCUGAGGGUCUCUGGCAAAGCUCAGCAUGAACUCCCGCUGGGUCUUCAGCU